rnacentral:rRNA from 1 species
UACGGAGGGUGCAAGCGUUACUCGGAAUCACUGGGCGUAAAGGAUGUGUAGGCUGUAGAUCAAGUCAGAAGUGAAAUCCAACGGCUUAACCGUUGAACUGCUUUUGAAACUGUUUUACUAGAAUAUGGGAGAGGUAGAUGGAAUUGGUGGUGUAGGGGUAAAAUCCGUAGAUAUCACCAGGAAUACCGAUUGCGAAGGCGAUCUACUGGAACAUUAUUGACGCUGAGACAUGAAAGCGUGGGGAGCAAAC